AACCAUCCUGCUUUGAAUAAAUGUGAAAUGUGUGAAAUGACAAGAACAACAGAUUCAGGAAGUAACAAUGAAACUGGUCCUACAUAUUGCAGUCAGUAUCAUGGAAUAGUUAGUGCACCACAGAUUGAUCAGAGAGAAUCUUCAGAUCCAGUUACAGGAAGGUGGCCAAGACAAGGAAUAGGUCAUGUACAGAUUCGUGUAACACGAAACAGAACCGUAAAUCCUUCAAAAGGAUUAGAGUUACACCUAACUCAUAGAUAUCCUCGCAGAUAGCAUUAUAUAAAAUAAAAUAUUGCAUUUCAGAUUGAUCAUGUAUAAAGUUGUAAUAACUGGUUUUAAUUGUAUAUUAUGAAAAGCAUAAUCAAAUUUAUAGAAGAUAUAUGAUGGACCAUCAUCAUCUAAACUGUGAUUCUUUCAAGUCUGCAAAUUUUAAACAACUCAACAUUCAUAUCUUGAUUAUUUAAUUACAGGCAUACCUUGCUUUAAGGCACUUCACUAAUACAGUACUUCUCAAUUACAUUCUGUGUUUUUAUUUUAUAUAUCAAAAUGAAAAUUAUUUACAAAAUAAUAUUUAAUUUAUAUUCUAUAUAUCUAUUCUAACACACAG
rnacentral:lncRNA from 1 species